AUCCCAUGAUGAGGAGAAGCGACCACGUACUCCUGCAGUUGUUCCCAUGCUUUCGGAACAGACUCGUCCCUCCUCUGCUGGAAACUUGAAAUCGUUCCACGAAGGGC
rnacentral:snoRNA from 1 species